rnacentral:rRNA from 1 species
AUGAGAAUGACAUAUUAUCUGAUGCAGUUUUCUGGGAUGAAGGCACUAGGCGAUGCUAUUGGAUUUGGGUCUGGCUUUCUGUUUGCCUCUGUGUUUGGUAUCAGGCUGUACAAUACCCGGAAGCUAGUGCCAUCCGACCUAUUUUCAGCACUCUCUCUAGGUGCCCUGGGAGUCUUCUACGAUGCUUACUUGCAAGACAAGGUGUGA